UACAGAGGGGGCAAGCGUUGUUCGGAAUUACUGGGCGUAAAGGGCGCGUAGGCGGCGACUCUAGUCAGAUGUGAAAGUCCUGGGCUUAACCUGGGGACUGCAUUUGAUACUGGGUUGCUUGAAUUCGGGAGAGGAUAGCGGAAUUCCCAGUGUAGAGGUGAAAUUCGUAGAUAUUGGGAAGAACACCGGUGGCGAAGGCGGCUAUCUGGACCGACAUUGACGCUGAGGCGCGAAAGCGCGGGGAGCAAACAGG
rnacentral:rRNA from 1 species